CUUGUCCUGCCAGUCAUUCCCAGUGAAUGUUUCCACAGAUGGAGCUGGGUGCUCCCUACCCAUCAGCCAUCUGGGCUCCUCUUACAGGCUUUUUCUUUCUCGAUGGAUUCAGCUGUGCUGGCUUCAGUUCCAGACAAUUCUCCUUCUGGUGGUGGUCAGCAGGCCCGUGCUCACCUCUCAUCACUCUGGGACAGAGUAGAAAGAACCUCCCCUUUCCCAAGCAUCCUGGGAAAUUGCAGCAGUGACUUACUGAGGAAUUGCAUCAGGUGUCAUGUUCCCAUCUGACCUGUUUGCUGUGAGCUCCAGGCCCUGUUGGCCAGUGGAACAAAAGCAAAGUAAACUGGUUGCCUAAAGGAAAAUGGCAGGUUGUGGUUUAAAAUGGUGAGACUGCUUCUGCUCAUUGUGUGAAACAAUGUCCGUAAGCCAGGAAGGUGAGCCUUUAUAUGCUGUAUGUAGUAUCUCAUUUAAUUCUCACGAAGACUGGUGAGAACUUUCUUAUUGUUGUCUCUACCUUGUUCAAACUCUGGAAACUUGUCCAAAUCAUGGCAUUCAAUUUUUUCCUCACUGCUGUGACAAGGGGGUUCAUUGUGGCUCACAGUCUGAGGGUGCAGGCUGUCAUGAUAGGAAAGGCGGUUGGUCACACUGUGUCUACACUGAGGAAGCGAUGGGACAUGAACACCAAUGCAGAGCUGGCUUUCUCCCUUGCUUCAGGCUGGGACUCCAGCCCCAGGAAAGAUGCCACUGGCGCUCGGCUUUGGUCUUCCCGUGUAAACUAACCUAAUAGAGAAACUCCUGCACAGACACGUCCAGAAGCCUGUUUCCAUGUUCCUUCUAAAUCCCAUCAAGUUGAUAGUCCCGGUAAAGCCAUCAUACUCAUUGCACAGUCUUCUGUAGGGGGCGGAGAGGAAGAGUGUGCAAAGACCAAGCACGUUGUGAGAACAGGGCAAUGGGAGAAAAGUUCUCAUGGAGGGGCCCAGGCAGAGCCUGACUGCAGCAGAGAAGGGAUGUGGGACCAACAGGCGAGCCGACUCAGAGCAGGUGGGAGUGCAGGCAGCGUGGUGUGGAGCCGGAGAACAAGGCAUCCUCGGGAGAGACAGCAAAACACAAAGCAGCGUUCUCAGACUCGGGAGACUUGGAAUACAGGAGGAUGGAGUUAAUGAGGCUUUGCAGUCUUGACUGCAGCUGUCACCAUCGUGACUCCCUCUGUACACCAGUCAAAGCUGAGGUGGCACAAAUGUUGCUGGAGAAUUUAGGUCACAUGUCUUUGUGAUACCUCACUGACAUGUUUGUGGAAUCAAACAAACAUUUCCCAUCUGCUUUUCAAUUUCCUUCUGUGAAUCAGGAUCGCUUUGUUUCAGGAGCCCUCCUCCCCAGUCGGGCAGAGCUGAGUAUAACCACGCUGCACUUGAGUAGAAAGCAGUCAGAACUCCUCCUUCAGCCUUCAGAACGUCCGUUUUUAAGUCAGAGCUGUUGUGUUGGCUACUUGCCAUGCUGUUGUCAGGGACAAAACCCCUGACAGACCAGCUCACCGGAGUUAAGACAGGUUUUGACUCUGGGCUCAUGGCAUCCACAGUCAGGAAGGGCGUGGCAGUGGGAGCUUGAGUCAGCCGGGAGCAUGGCAUCCACAGUCAGGAAGGGUGUGGCAGCAGGAUCUUGAGUCAGCCGGGAGCAUGGCAUCCACAGUCAGGAAGGGCGUGGCAGCGGGAGCUUGAGUCAGCCGGGAGCAUGGCAUCCACAGUCAGGAAGGGCGUGGCAGUGGGAGCUUGAGUCAGCCGGGAGCAUGGCAUCCACAGUCAGGAAGGGUGUGGCAGCAGGAUCUUGAGUCAGCCGGGAGCAUGGCAUCCACAGUCAGGAAGGGCGUGGCAGCGGGAGUUUGAGUCAGCCUUGAGUCAGCCGGGCACAAGGCAUCCACAGUCAGGAAGGGCGUGGCAGUGGGAGCUUGAGUCAGCCGGGAGCAUGGCAUCCACAGUCAGGAAGGGUGUGGCAGCAGGAUCUUGAGUCAGAUGGGUGCAUGGCAUCCACAGUCAGGAAGGGCGUGGCAGCGGGAGCUUGAGUCAGCCGGGAGCAUGGCAUCCACAGUCAGGAAGGGCGUGGCAGCGGGAGCUUGAGUCAGCCGGGCACAUGGCAUCCACAGUCAGGAAGGGCGUGGCAGUGGGAGCUUGAGUCAGCCUUGAGUCAGCCGGGCACAUGGCAUCCACAGUCAGGAAGGGCGUGGCAGCGGGAGCUUGAGUCAGCCGGGCGCAUUGCAUCCACAGUCAGGAGGCACAACGAAAGGAAAGCUGGUGCCAGUUGGCUGUCUUAAUCUUAUGUAGUCAGAGACCUGAACCGGUGGAAUGGGUCUUAGGAUGGGUCUUCCCACCGGAAUUAACCUAUUUAGAUACUGGCUCACAGACAUGUGCAGGGCUUUGUUUCCAUGGUGAUUGUAAAGCCCACCAAGUUGGCAGUCAGGAGUAGCUGGCAGGGCUGUGGAAUGAGGUUGUUACAGGAAACUUUCUGUGGCCCCUGGGCUGGAAGAAACAGGAGGCUUUGCUCCUGUGCACAUGGAAACUCUUUGGAGCAAGAGUGCCCUGGAGCUCGGGGUGUUGGGAGCUGCUAGGCUGAUAGACUUCUAGCUGCCCUGCCCUGUGGAAGGCCCCUCCCCCAGACACAGGCC
ensembl:lncRNA